CAAACGUCAGAGCUCAGAGCUGAUGACCUGGCUCCGCCCACUGGAGUCCAGCUCAGCCAAUGAGGUGACUUGUUGUGUCCACCCAAACUGGUGACAUCUGGAUGAAGUGUUCCUUCUCCAAACAGCCCAAAGCUUCCUCCUCCUGAUCUCUGAACUUGUCGGCUGAUGACAUACAGUGAUAUGAGGAGGAGCAACACUGUCAAAGAGCAGAAGAGAAAACAUCUGCCACCGUCAGAUUCAUUCAAUAUCUAAAGAAAACACAAGUCAGAGUGUCUGAAGAUGCUCUCACUGCAUCACUGUGGGAUGGUUCCUUUGUUUCUCAUCAUACUAAAAGGUGUCAGCUGUCAAGAACUGAAUCCAGUCAAGACUGAAGAGUCCAGUUCAGAAGGCAGCUCUGUCACUCUGUCCUACAAUUACUCAAAAAAACAGAUGGCCGUUGAUAAUUUCUUCUGGUAUCAACAAAAUCCAGGAAAACCACCAGAGUUCAUCUUCUCUCAUCAGGAGUCAGGAGAGAAAUUAUCAGGUUCAGACUCGAGAAUGUCUGUUAACGUGAGCGAUGACAAAACCAGAAUUCAUCUACAGAUCUCCUCUGCUGCAGUGUCAGACUCUGCUGUGUACUACUGUGCUGUGAGGCCCACAGUGACAGGAAACAACACAACUCUGUACAAAAACCUCUGGAGCAAAGACAACACAAUACUCCACAACAUCCACUAGAGGGAGUCUCUGACUGAGAAAAGACUGAUGACACAAACGUCAGAGCUCAGAGCUGAUGACCUGGCUCCGCCCACUGGAGUCCAGCUCAGCCAAUGAGGUGAGCAGAAAUGUUGGAGGAAGUAAAAGCACAGUCAGCUUGAAGUUGAGGAGAAGGGCUGUGCAGCAGAGAGGCUGUUUAGUUUGUUCAUUCUACUGCAGUGGAAGAACUUUGUUCAUCUGCUGUCUGUUUGGCUUCAACCACUCCAAUCUAGAGUAAAUACAAGAAAGUUACGUGACAAAAAAUGGACCAGACUCAGUGACUA
rnacentral:lncRNA from 1 species